CUAACAGGUGACUGGUGGGUGACUCAGGACCUUGUGCCGUGCCCCUGCCCCCACUUCCCAGAAAGAAAGCUAAGGUGAUGGGGGCCGCAGUGAGACUUUCUAUGUCGUGCCAAACUCUCCCCCAGGGACUCCAGAGCCCAGGGCUGUGACUCACCUAUGAGCUGUGGUUUUGUUUUAAGCAACUGUGAGGAAGUGUCAGAGGGCAGCUGUGGAGGAUGAGGUGAAUCUCCAGGGAGGCAUUUCAGCCAGGCUGGUGCCGGGUAGCUGCUUUUGGGGGUGCACACCUGGCACUCAGCCCACACAGGGUACCUGAGUGCCUAGUUGUUGCUUCUUUCAGAAGAAGUGAAGACCCACGCAUGGACCUGGAGGAACAAGGAGAAGGAAGUGAGCCCGGGGUGUGUCCUCUGAGGCGAAAAUGAGAAAAACUGUCAAGUGGGAAAAGGCUAACAGAAGGCUGUCGAGAAGGAUCCUGAGAGGACUUUUCAGAAGACCUGGGUCCUGAAAUGCAAACAUCGACAGUCUCAUAAAUCCGGGCAUCCAGGAAGAUGCUCACAGCCUCUCCACAAGUGGCCAGAGCUAGGAUCAUACAUUGUACGGAAGACAAAACUGCCAUCUGAGCAUGCCUGUGUACUUCUCUUUCUUGACUGUGCUAGGGAUGAAAUACAGGGCUUUGCAAGUGCUAGCCCAGAUGUGAGUAUAUUUUUCAGGAGCCAUUUAACCUACCACAAGUCAUUUUGCAGAGGUUGGUUUGUUUAUUUCCACCUUUGGAUAAAGGACAGUAGUGUAGA